UAGACAUAUAAUGCUAAGCUGAUUUUUUUUAUAGCACGCUGAUCGAUAUCUCUGUAAAAUAAUCUUUUUUUUAACUAGCGGGGCAGUGAAAUCUUUGCUUUGUGCUAAAGUCAACAGUGACAGAGUUUGAGCUCAAAUAAAUGCUGUGAUGUCUGAAGCCCUUUGCAGAAGGCAGAAGGCGAGCUUCUACAAAGGGCUCCUGUGUGGCUUGCCAACAACAUACACCGGCUAUUUUGCACAGAUGCACAUGGCUUUCCAUGUGAUGGACACUUCCACUGCUGUUCACUUUCAUCACCCUGCAUCAUGCGACCUGAAAGCUCUUUCCUGUCGAUGUACUUGGCUAUAUCUGCGUCUGACCUGUCUGCCAUAUGUAAUAUCAAAGCCUCUGUCAGCGUGGAGCUGAAUGGGGACAAAAGAGAGGCCUCCAUUAAUGAUUAACUGUUCUAAAAGCCCCGGCUUUUGUAUUCCCAUGGUGCCCAGGCUAUCUGGCCACCAUGUGACAUGCUCACAGCAUUUUUCGAGCAGAUUGGGGGAAAGCUAGUGAGCAAACACAGGUGCUUUGGAGCAGCGUUGCCGACGCUGUCAGGGACAACCACAAACAAGAGCAGCUAUGCCUGGCUAAAUGAAUCCACCCCUCCCAUCACCAUCACCACAGCCACCCCCCACUCUGUCACCAGCUAACUUGUUUGCUAGCUCCCUAUAGCUUUCUCCCUGCAAAGCCUUCCUUCUGGAUGGUCGCCGUAACACACCACCCCCCCAUUCCCGCACAAGUGCAAUGUCCACUGCAGGCAGGCUCCACAACUUCUCACACCCUCCAAAGAAACAAACAAAUAAAAGUGAAGACGGCCGUCCACUUCUUUGAGGUGAUGGCAUUUGCUGUGGUCAUGACUAGUGGCAGAGCAAACAAAUUAAUGGUGUCCAAGUUUUCACUUUCCAAACCAAACUAAAUGUCUUUUAGUUCAAGUGGGGCAAUUCUACUGACCCUGGUGUCAAAUGCUGCAUAAGGGUUGCACACUCUUGCACUUGAAAUGUUGAGAGGAGGCCAUAAGAAAUUUAACAGGGAUUGAGUAUUAGUCUAAAUUAACCUUAUACCUCAAAAUGGCAAUGAUAUAAUCGAUAAAUUAAAAUAACAUUUUUGUUAAUUGCUGCUUUUAAGUAUUUUGGGAGCAAACUAUAAGAAGAGGUACUUAACCUUUUCAGCAGAAUGAUGGGGGGACGCUGUGUCGUUCAACUUUGAUAAGACAAUCAGAUGAUAGAAUGGCGUUAUCUUAACAUGGCUUUCCGGCAGGGAGACAAACGAACAGUGUGUGAUAACAGGAACAAAGGCUUUGCUCUUAUUGGCUGGUUCCCUCAAAGAAAGGAAGAUUUAUCAGUGGAAAAGUCACAAUAAGCACUGUUUAUUUCAUUUUCAAUUUUCUACUUAAGCCAGUGCAGGAACAUUUUUUUUUCUUUAUCACUCAAAUAUUUAUAUUGUCUCUUGCUAGCAUUUUGGUUUGACAAUCUGCAAUUACCUGAGCCUAUAAAGCAGUUAUCACUGGAAAGAUGAUAAAAAUGUUUCAAAACAAACAAAUUAAAUCAACAGGAGAGGAAAUGAAGUUGUAAAAGUGAGAGAUGCAGAUACAAAAAGAGAGGCAGAAAGCCAAGGAAGGAAAAACAUGGAAUAAGAGAAAAUGUCAGGUGUCUAUUUUUGAGAAACGAAAAGGUGAUUAUAGGAAAAAGGUUAAAAGUAGUUUCCCUUUGGCUGAUCAGAAAAACAUCCGUCUGGGUUUUUCAGACUUUUGCAGACGUAUUACCAGAGACAGAGAGGCGUAUGUAUACUCAAGGAUUCACUCAAGGCUUUGUUUGCUUUAUUCUCCCAAAAAUGAUUGGAAAAAAAUAUUGGUGCCCUACCAUGAAAUGUUAGCACUUUGAAAGGAA